ensembl:lncRNA
CCAAGCUGUAGGAAACAAACAUGCCGCUCAUUUCUGACACAGUUAUUGUAUAACAAGAGCCUGAUAAUCUCCAGGAAAGGCUGACACCAAGUGAGCUGUGUCCUUGCAUCAUCUUAUUUUUGCUUUAAUAGUCGUGACUCCACCUCAGAAUAUUCCUGCAGCUUCAGUUGCCAGGAGGAAUGACAUCAUGCACAUCUGUAUAUAGCUGCAAGAGGAAGGUGAAGGUCGGGGAGGAAGGCUCACACCUCCGCACUGGUGGGCUGACACCAGGCACCCACCUCCACCAGACGUGGCUGGAAAGCUGUGCCUGCAUGGAAACUCCUGGUGGGUCAGACCAUAAAUCAUAAAUCAAUUUGUUCAAAAAUUAGGCUUAGUGUUCUGUGGUUUGCUUCGGUUUUUAAGCCAGCCCUCCCUUUUCCCUUCCUUCUCCCACUCUCCAACAAAAAUCCAGGAGGUGGUUCUGAGUCGCCCAGACCAAAUGCAAACAGCCAGAACAACAAAAAAGUGAGGAUUACAGCAGCUGGAUUUACUCUUUUCUGACUUUUUUCCUUUUAAUUAUAUUUUUUUUUUAAGAAAAAAAAUCUAUAUCCAAAUAUGUUUUCGAGUUGAAACAAAGUCAGGAUCUACUGUAUGUCUGUGUGCCCUCAAGUCUGUAGGAGCAGCUCCUCACCAGUUGCACCCAGCUGGAGGAUGGGAGCCUGGCAGGCUACCACCUUCCCUUCCCAGCAGCCAUGGGAGCCCAUGGAAAGCAGAGCAUAAAUUCAAACCAUUUAAAGAGUGAUUAAGACUUCUCCUGAUUACUGCUCUGCAUGGUAUUGAAUGGUUUGGAUGGUGGUGAUUUAUUGAAGUAAUAUAUAAUAUGCUCCGUUCGGUUAACGGUCCCCAUCAAGCACAAUCCAGAUGAAUAAAAAAGUAAAAAGAGGGAGAGAGUGUGCUGUAAGAGGAAAUCUCCUUGGAUUUAAGAGAAAUUGAAAUAUGUACAUGGUAAUCUGUGUCCAAAGCUUUUAGCACUUCAGAAAGUGCCAGUUGCUAAUACCUCUGGCUAAAGGCAGCGUUACGUGGAUGGCUGAUGAUCCCAGGGCCUUCCUCCUUCCCUCCACCACUGACACCUGGCUCCUCCACCUGGCCUACCCUGCGGCAGAUGCUGGGUUUUUUGUUAAUAUCUGUUUUAUUCCAUGAUGCAG